rnacentral:rRNA from 1 species
UACAGAGGGUGCGAGCGUUAAUCGGAAUUACUGGGCGUAAAGGGCGCGUAGGCGGCCUUCUAAGUCGAACGUGAAAUCCCCCGGGCUCAACCCGGGAACUGCGUCCGAUACUGGAAGGCUUGAAUCCGGGAGAGGGAUGCGGAAUUCCAGGUGUAGCGGUGAAAUGCGUAGAUAUCUGGAGGAACACCGGUGGCGAAGGCGGCAUCCUGGACCGGCAUUGACGCUGAGGCGCGAAAGCCAGGGGAGCAAACGGG